ensembl:rRNA 5S_rRNA 5S ribosomal RNA
AGUCUAGGCCAUACCACCCUGAACGCGCCCGAUCUCGUCUGAUCUCGGAAGCUAAGCAGGGUUGGGCCUGGUUAGUACUUGGAUGGGAGAAGUAAAAUGAGACCCAGUUUAAGGCUU